rnacentral:rRNA from 1 species
UGCAGUCGACGAUGAUGUCCCGCUUGCGGGACGGAUUAGUGGCGAACGGGUGAGUAAUACGUGAGUAACCUGCCCCUGACUCUGGGAUAAGCCUGGGAAACCGGGUCUAAUACUGGAUACUACUUCUUGCCGCAUGGUGGGUGGUGGAAAGGGUUCUACUGGUUUUGGAUGGGCUCACGGCCUAUCAGCUUGUUGGUGGGGUAAUGGCUCACCAAGGCGACGACGGGUAGCCGGCCUGAGAGGGUGACCGGCCACACUGGGACUGAGACACGGCCCAGACUCCUACGGGAGGCAGCAGUGGGGAAUAUUGCACAAUGGGCGCAAGCCUGAUGCAGCGACGCCGCGUGAGGGAUGACGGCCUUCGGGUUGUAAACCUCUUUCAGUAGGGAAGAAGCGAAAGUGACGGUACCUGCAGAAGAAGCGCCGGCUAACUACGUGCCAGCAGCCGCGGUAAUACGUAGGGCGCAAGCGUUGUCCGGAAUUAUUGGGCGUAAAGAGCUCGUAGGCGGUUUGUCGCGUCUGCUGUGAAAGCCCGGGGCUCAACCCCGGGUCUGCAGUGGGUACGGGCAGACUAGAGUGCAGUAGGGGAGACUGGAAUUCCUGGUGUAGCGGUGAAAUGCGCAGAUAUCAGGAGGAACACCGAUGGCGAAGGCAGGUCUCUGGGCUGUUACUGACGCUGAGGAGCGAAAGCAUGGGGAGCGAACAGGAUUAGAUACCCUGGUAGUCCAUGCCGUAAACGUUGGGCACU